CAGGAACCCAUACCCUGCGGAAAGGUGACAGUGAGAUCUUAACAGGCAGCGGAGCAGACACUGCCCUGACAAGGAGAAGCUACAGUUUUUUUUUGCUAUAUUUUUACUGUACAUGUAGCCAAGCUGUGGAAUAGACAGAGGAUAUUUCUACUUCUGCUCAAGUUUGGUUUGCUAAUCCACAUGUUCAUCUCCGACUGCUUAGUCCCUCUUACCUGCCCCAGGAUAAGGCCGACCUGGAAGGACACUGGAGUGUUGAGGGAUCGGAGGACCCAGGUCUUGCACUGAACAUGAGUGCCCAUACUGACGGAAUCUGAGGUGGCUUGAAAAGAGCUCACUGUGCAUGCGAAUUCUGCAGGGCCUGGGACUCAAACCACAAACAGUGAACAAAAGGCUUGACACCCUAAGGAAGUGCCACCAUGACCGCACCAAUGGUUGCAUCAUAGAAAAUAAAGAAGCUUUUGCCUCAGGGUCAGGUUUACCUCUCCAUGAGCCGGGGCUCAAAGGGUGCGGACAGGCCUUGAAGUCUGUGCUGGCCAGGGGCCAGCAGCUGGGGGUUCAUGGCCA